GUCCGCGCGCUAUGCACCCAAUCUCGCUCGCACACCAGCCGCCGCACAACCCUAGCUCCCACAUUCCCCUCGAUCCACUGCCCCUCCCUCCUUCCCGCUCGUCACCAGGGCCUCGCCGCCGCCUACUCCUCCUCCCCCACCGUUGCUGCUUCCCGACCUCGACUUCCCUCUCUCCGUUGUUUAUCCGGUCGUCGGCGGCGCCUUGUUCCAGAUCUGGCGCAAGUUAGGCCCGGUGGUGGGGCGAAGGGGCAGUGGAGGUGGGCGACCAGGACAAGCAGCUCUCGGCCCGUCGCGGGUGAGGCUCCAAGAGGGAAGAGGCGGGGACAGGAGGCUCGAGGGAAGAGGGAUGAGGCGGGGACAGGUGAAGGAGCAGGCUGGUCCUCGUGGAGGCGGCGCCGCCGGCCAGGGGCCAUUCACCGUCGCCGGACUCACUCGCCUCGUCUAUUCUCUCGUCACCAACUCGACAAUGGAGGAUGGGACAAGCAUGCCGGUGGCCAGCCAGUGGAGCCCCACCACAGGUGGUGAGAUUUUUCUCUGCUGUCUUCUUACUCUGGGGCGUGCCCUGGAAGAACUCACCCACACCAGCCAAGGAGGAUCCAUGAUGUGUGUGAGGUAGAGGUGGAUCAUUGGAGGUGAAGCAGGUCUCCUUGAGUUGUGCUUCAUCUGAGUUUCACGGGGUACUUAAGCAAUGGUUGCACCCCGCCACAUCACAUACCAGAUGCUCAGAUUAUAAGAAAGAGAAUUUUAUAAGUCAGGCAUCGAUUGCUCACCUUUGAAAGUUACAGAUUCAAGUGCUAGGCUUUAAGAAUGAAGCAAAUCCCAAUCUAGAAACAUGUUUCGUGCACCAUAUAUUUGUCACCAGAAACGAAUGCGCAGGCGACAGCCAUUUGAUUAGUGUUAUAUCCAACUAAGGCUAGCUGACUGCAGUUUGAUUAUCGAUUCAUCUAUGGCAGCACAGACAGGCAAUGGCAGCAUCGGUGGCACGAGAGGAAGGAUGGGAAUCAGCUACUUGCAUUCGCACGGAGGAGGCAAUGUCGACGCGAUGGCACAGCAGAGGAGGCUGGGCUCGUUGUGGAGCUUCUUGAGGCAGCAGGACGUCGGCGAGAGCAUCGCUGCCGGCAACGGCUUGAGUGACCUCUUGAGGAUCUUCUCCAUGAGCACAUGUGACGACACCAACUCCAACGUCAUCUUCUCAGCGCCCGGCAGCAAGAAGGCCGAGGUGCUCGGCGACAGCGAUGUCGGCAUGGUCACCAGCUUCAGCAACAUCGACUCCUAGAUUCAGUUAGCCCUCUCGAGCUGGACAUGCCCAGCAUGGACGACUACCUGCAGCUGCAGCAGGACUCCGCCGACUGCAGAGUCCACGCCAAGCAUGGCUGCACCACUGACCCGCAGAGCAUCGCUUGGGAGGGAAAGAAGAACAAGGACCAAUAAGAGGCUAAGGAGGCUGCAAGACCUCAUUCCCUACAUGGACAAGGUCACAAGAACUGAAUAUACACGUAGGAGAAACUUGAGAGCCAAUAUUAGUGCUGAAGGAUUACUCUGAUUGCUGAUCUAUGUUGUCGCGGCAACACAGGCCAAUACACAUUCAGGAAAUAUGUGACCAGCUUCCCCAAGGUCCCGCAUCGUCUACUCAGUAAGCCAAGGUGGAGGUUGGGAAACAAAGAACUUGCCCAACUGUGGAAAUGGGCAGAACUAAACCCUGUAUGUUUUAGCUAGAACUUCCUGCUAUUGUUCUAUUUGAAGGAGCAACAAUGCAUUAAGCGCAAAAAAUACGUCAGUUAGGCCUUUUUUGUCUUAUUAUCCAAUUUUACUUCUAUAUACAAAUGUUAAAAGAGUCUGAGUGGGGACACUCUAUUUGGAAAGGGAUUUUGUACAGUUUUUCUGCAAGUUACUACUUCAUUAGUGGAUUGGCCUACAUAGUAUUCAUAAAAAUUAAUCAUCCAAUUCCCUCUAUGUGUCCUUGGUCACAUUUCUUGUCUGUUCAAUUCUUGGAAACCCACAUCUUAUUUGAAUUGAAACUGCUGAGUGCUUUGACUGAUCCUGACCGAGUCCACACACCAUCACUUACAGAAUACUGGAAGCCACUUGCAGAAGAUGUAAACCCUUUACCUUUUCUUUCAUAGUUACUCCCUCCAUCCCAAAAUAAGUGACUCAACUUUGUACUAGCUUUAGUACAAAGUUAGUACAAAGUUGAAUCACUUAUUUUGGGACGGAGGGAGUACUUUGCACCAAUGGUUCUAAUACUGGGUUUUCAAGAUAAACUUGCAGAUGGACACAUCUGCCAGAGAGACGGCGGUCAUGAGAGCCGGAAGAUCACAAGAGAUCGACCUUUUGGGUGGUCUAAUACUUCCUGUAUGGGCACAUAGAAAAGCCACUACGAUAAGCCGACACCUAAUAAGGAUCAGGAGAACAACAGAUAUGCUAAGAGACAACCUUUUGGGGUUAAGGAUAUAAACAACAACAGGGCUUAUGAGGCCGAAGAAAGCUCGAGUGGCGUCUUUUGGUUCUUGAAGACCUGCACGUUCCUGGUGGAGUAGAGCAAAAUAAUUUGAAGGCUUUAAAGCUACUGCACUUCAUGUAGUUAGGAUCAACUCUUUGUUUUAGUUUGAAAUAUUCCCCAUUUCCUCCUAUUUGAUUGAUUCAUCUGAUGGACAUUUUGUCAGGCAAAUAAACAAAAGGCAUAUGUAUUAUUACGAGUGAAGCCAUCCAUACUCCCAUGUGGAAUUCAAGAAAUAGAGAAAUGUUAUUGUUUUUCUACUAAUUGUUUGCUUGGCCAAAUGUAUUGUAAAUGAUUUAUUAUUGUUCAAGGUAUAGAGAAAUGUUAUUGUUCUUUA